CAGACCAACAAACCCACUGAAUUUAAGCAUAUAAGUAAGUGGAGGAUAAUAAACUAAAUAGGAUUCCCUCAGUAAUGGCGAAUGAACAGGGAUGAGCUCAGUGUGAAAAUCAAGGCCUCUGGCCUUGAAUUGUAGUCUGAAGAUGUAUUACCAACAGUGGCACAGGUGCAAGCCUUUUGGAAAAAAGCAUCAUUGUGGGUGAGAGUCCCAUUGGUCAUCUGUAGUCCCCUGUGCACGGUGUACUUCUCGAGAGUCACAUUCCUUGGGAUUGGAAUGCAAAUUGGGUGGUAAAUUUCAUCUAAAGCUAAAUAUUGGUUCAAGACCGAUAGCGAACAAGUACCAUGAGGGAAAGUUGAAAAGGACUUUGAAAAGAGAGUUAAAAGUACCUGAAAUUGCUGAAGGGGAAGCGAAUGGGGCCAGUGUAGUUUGGUGAGAUUGCUGUGUGCUCAUGUGAAGUCUUGCUGUCAAAGCGUAAGCGUGUCAGUGGGAUGUGAGCAGCCAGCACGCAGUGCAUCUUACCUUAUGUGUCAUCUUCCAUGUACAUGUGGGGAUACUUCUAAGAACAUGGUAGCGUGCCCUCGGGUGUGUGAAUGUUUUUGGCUGCCCUCAGUUGUACAUGGCUUGAUGACUAAAUGGUUCUUUUCGACCCGUCUUGAAACACGGACCAAGGAGUCUAACAUGUGUGCGAGUUCAUGGGUGGUUAAACCUGCUUGUGUAAUGAAAGUGACUGCUGGAAUAUUUGCACCAGCAACUGACCAAUCGCUUGAGAGGUUUGAGUUAGCACACCUGUUAGGACCCGAAAGAUGGUGAACUAUGCCUGUGCAGGGCAAACUCAGGGGAAACUCUGAUGGAGGCUCGUAGCGAUACUGACGUGCAAAUCGUUCGUCAUACAUGGGUAUAGGGGCGAAAGACUAAUCGAACCAUCUAGUAGCUGGUUCCCUCUGAAGUUUCCCUCAGGAUAGCUGGAGUUUAACAGUUUUAUCAGGUAAAGCGAAUGACUAGAGGAAUCGGGGACAUGUUGUCCUCGACCUAUUCUCAAACUUUAAAUAGGUAAGAACCAGUGGUUGCUUAGGUGAACUUCUGGGAUAAAUGUGAACUCUAAGUGGGCCAUUUUUGGUAAGCAGAACUGGCGAUGAGGGAUGAACCUAAUGUUGGGUUAAAGUGCUUAACUGCCUGCUCAUCAGAUACCAUAAAGGGUGUUGGUUCAUUUUAACAGCAGGACGGUGGUCAUGGAAGUCGAAAUCCGCUAAGGAGUGUGUAACAACUCACCUGCUGAAUAAAU
rnacentral:rRNA from 1 species